AAAUUCCUGAGGAGACGAAGGACCUGGUGCGAGACAAGUUGACGGUCAAUUUUGAUCUUAAGGACAUAUCCCCUGAGGUCAGUGCCUACUUAGAGGAGACCUUAGCAAACCGGUACAAAGAUUGGAAGUGCGCUCUUCACAAGCAUUUUCAGCUAUGGGAUGAUCCGGAGAUUGCUCGUCUACAGGGUUACCCAGCUGAGUUGAAGGACCGGCUGGAGGAUUGAGAGUGGCUCUGCAAACAUUUUACGGACCCAAAAUUUGUAAAGAAAUCUGUUGCUGGCAAGAAAGCUCGAGACUCAAAGACACUUCUCCACCAUUCCGGUU